rnacentral:rRNA from 1 species
GGCGGUAGGCCUAACACAUGCAAGUCGAACGGCAGCACAGGAGAGCUUGCUCUCUGGGUGGCGAGUGGCGGACGGGUGAGGAAUACAUCGGAAUCUACCUUUUCGUGGGGGAUAACGUAGGGAAACUUACGCUAAUACCGCAUAAGACCUUCGGGUGAAAGCCGGGGACCUUCGGGCCUGGCGCGGAUAGAUGAGCCGAUGUCGGAUUAGCUUGUUGGCGGGGUAAAAGCCCACCAAGGCGACGAUCCGUAGCUGGUCUGAGAGGAUGAUCAGCCACACUGGAACUGAGACACGGUCCAGACUCCUACGGGAGGCAGCAGUGGGGAAUAUUGGACAAUGGGCGCAAGCCUGAUCCAGCCAUACCGCGUGGGUGAAGAAGGCCUUCGGGUUGUAAAGCCCUUUUGUUGGGAAAGAAAUCCUGCCGGUUAAUAACCAGUAGGGAUGACGGUACCCAAAGAAUAAGCACCG